rnacentral:rRNA from 1 species
GUAGGGUGCAAGCGUUAAUCGGAAUUACUGGGCGUAAAGCGUGCGCAGGCGGUUUUGUAAGUCUGACGUGAAAUCCCCGGGCUUAACCUGGGAAUUGCGUUGGAGACUGCAAGGCUGGAGUCUGGCAGAGGGGGGUAGAAUUCCACGUGUAGCAGUGAAAUGCGUAGAGAUGUGGAGGAACACCGAUGGCGAAGGCAGCCCCCUGGGUCAAGACUGACGCUCAUGCACGAAAGCGUGGGGGAGCAAACAGGAUUAGAUACCCUGGUAGUCCACGCCCUAAACGAUGUCUACUAGUUGUCGGGUCUUAAUUGACUUGGUAACGCAGCUAACGCGUGAAGUAGACCGCCUGGGGAUACGGUCGCAAGAUUA